GAUGAACGCUAGCGGCAGGCCUAACACAUGCAAGUCGAGGGGCAGCACAGAAACAGCAAUGUUUUGGUGGCGACCGGCGGACGGGUGCGUAACGCGUAUGCAACCUACCUUUAACAGGGGGAUAACGGAGAGAAAUUUCCACUAAUACCCCAUAACAUCGAUCAAGGCAUCUUGAUUGGUUGAAAACUCCGGUGGUUAACGAUGGGCAUGCGUUGUAUUCGGUCGUUGGUGAGGUAAUGGCUCACCCAGCCUACGAUACAUAGGGGGACUGGGAGGUAAGCCCCCCACACUGGUACUGAGACACGGACCAGACGCCUACGGGAGGCAGCAGGUGGGAAUAUUGGUCAAUGGGGGCAACCCUGAACCAGCCAUGCCGCGUGCAGGAAGACGGCUCUAUGAGUUGUAAACUGCUUUUAAACAGGGAUAAAGCACAGUAUGUAUACUGUGUUGAAGGUACUGUAAGAAUAAGGAUCGGCUAACUCCGUGCCAGCCGCCGCCGUAA
rnacentral:rRNA from 1 species